rnacentral:rRNA from 1 species
AACCUGCGGAAGGAUCAUUACCGAGUGAGGGCCCUUUGGGUCCAACCUCCCACCCGUGUUUAUUUUACCUUGUUGCUUCGGCGGGCCCGCCUUUACUGGCCGCCGGGGGGCUCACGCCCCCGGGCCCGCGCCCGCCGAAGACACCCCCGAACUCUGUCUGAAGAUUGAAGUCUGAGUGAAAAUAUAAAUUAUUUAAAACUUUCAACAACGGAUCUCUUGGUUCCGGCAUCGAUGAAGAACGCAGCGAAAUGCGAUACGUAAUGUGAAUUGCAAAUUCAGUGAAUCAUCGAGUCUUUGAACGCACAUUGCGCCCCCUGGUAUUCCGGGGGGCAUGCCUGUCCGAGCGUCAUUGCUGCCCUCAAGCCCGGCUUGUGUGUUGGGCCCCGUCCUCCGAUUCCGGGGGACGGGCCCGAAAGGCAGCGGCGGCACCGCGUCCGGUCCUCGAGCGUAUGGGGCUUUGUCACCCGCUCUGUAGGCCCGGCCGGCGCUUGCCGAUCAACCCAAAUUUUUAUCCAGGUUGACCUCGGAUCAGGUAGGGAUACCCGCUGAACUUAAGCAUAUCAAUAAGC